rnacentral:rRNA from 1 species
GAUGAACGCUAGCUGGAGGCUUAAUACAUGCAAGUCGAACGGGAUUGGGUAGCAAUACCCAUGAGAGCGGCGCACGGGUGAGUAACGCGUACACGUCCUACCUCUGACAGGGGGAUAGCCCUGGGAAACUGGGAUUAAUACCGCAUAUAAUUCUGAAUAAUAAAGGUUUGGAAUGAAAGCUGAGGCGGUUAGAGAUGGGUGUGCGUCUGAUUAGCUAGUUGGUAGGGUAACGGCCUACCAAGGCGAUGAUCAGUAGGGGGCGUGAGAGCGUGGUCCCCCACACGGGUACUGAGACACGGACCCGACUCCUACGGGAGGCAGCAGUAAGGAAUAUUGGUCAAUGGGCGAAAGCCUGAACCAGCCGUCCAGCGUGCAGGAAGAAGGCCCUAUGGGUUGUAAACUGCUUUUAUCAGGGAAGAAACCUCUGGAUUUACUCCGGAGCUGACGGUACUUGACUAAGAAGCCCCGGCUAACUACGUGCCAGCAGCCGCAGUAACAC